rnacentral:rRNA from 1 species
AUUGAACGCUGGCGGCAUGCUUUACACAUGCAAGUCGAACGGUAACAGGCCUUCGGGUGCUGACGAGUGGCGAACGGGUGAGUAAUGCAUCGGAACGUGCCCAGUCGUGGGGGAUAACUAGUCGAAAGAUUAGCUAAUACCGCAUACGACCUGAGGGUGAAAGCGGGGGACCUUAGGGCCUCGCGCGAUUGGAGCGGCCGAUGUCUGAUUAGCUAGUUGGUAGGGGUAAACGCCCACCAAGGCGACGAUCAGUAGCGGGUCUGAGAGGAUGAUCCGCCACACUGGGACUGAGACACGGCCCAGACACCUACGGGUGGCAG